CCGGUAGAAGCAUCAACAACUGUCAUUAACAGCUGUCCUCGCCGUUCACCUAUGCCGCCGAACAGGUGAUCUGGAUCUUGACCUAUGCUGCCGAACAGGUGAUCUGGAUCUUGACCUAUGCUUCCGAACAGGUGAUCUUGACUUAUGCUUCCGAACAGGUGAUUUUGAUCUUGAUCUAUGCUUCCGAACAGGUGAUCUGGAUCUUGACUUAUGCUUCCGAACAGGUGAUCUGGAUCUUGACCUAUGCUUCCGAACAGGUGAUCUGGAUCUUGACCUAUGCUUCCGAACUGGUGAUUUGGAUCUUGACCUUCUUACCCUGCAUAAAAAGGAAACCCUGUAAAUAAACAAGGCACAGCUGUAGUAUAAAUGGGAACCCAUACAAAUUCACCUGAGUAGCUUAUAUUGUUAUAUGAUGAUGGUAGUUUGUCUCAAAAAUAUAAACCUUAAACAUGAUUAACUUAAUGGCAACAAACCUGG
rnacentral:lncRNA from 1 species